rnacentral:rRNA from 1 species
AUUGAACGCUGGCGGCAGGCCUAACACAUGCAAGUCGAGCGGAUGAGAGGAGCUUGCUCCUCGAUUCAGCGGCGGACGGGUGAGUAAUGCCUAGGAAUCUGACCAGUAGUGGGGGACAACGUUUCGAAAGGAACGCUAAUACCGCAUACGUCCUACGGGAGAAAGUGGGGGAUCUUCGGACCUCACGCGAUUGGAUGAGCCUAUGUCGGAUUAGCUAGUUGGUAGGGUAAAGGCCUACCAAGGCGACGAUCCGUAACUGGUCUGAGAGGAUGAUCAGUCACUCGGGAACUGAGACACAGUGCAGACUCCUACGGGAGGCAGCAGUGGGGAAUAUUGGACGAUGGGCGCAAGCCUGUUCCAGCCAUGCCGCGUGUGUGAAGAAGGCCCGCGGGUCGUAAAGCACUUUAAGUUGGGAGGAAGGGCUUACAGCGAAUAACUGUGAGUUUUGACGUUACCGACAGAAUAAGCACCGGCUAACUUCGUGCCAGCCGCCGCAGUAA